AUACUUACCUGGACGGGGUCGACGGCCGAUCAUGAAGGGCCGUGGCCUAGAUCAAUGGCUCACAUUGCACUUGGUGUGCGUGUUGGUCUGCCAUCUCCCCAAGCGGGAGAGUGGGCGUCGUAAUUUGUGGUAGAGGGGGUACGCGUUCGCGCGGCCCCUG